GACGAACGCUGGCGGCGUGCUUAACACAUGCAAGUCGAACGGAAAGGCCCUGCUUUUGUGGGGUGCUCGAGUGGCGAACGGGUGAGUAACACGUGAGUAACCUGCCCUUGACUUUGGGAUAACUUCAGGAAACUGGGGCUAAUACCGGAUAGGAGCUCCUGCUGCAUGGUGGGGGUUGGAAAGUUUCGUCGGUUGGGGAUGGACUCGCGGCUUAUCAGCUUGUUGGUGGGGUAGUGGCUUACCAAGGCUUUGACGGGUAGCCGGCCUGAGAGGGUGACCGGCAACAUUGGGACUGAGAUACGGCACAGACUCAUACGGGAGGCAGCAGUGGGGAAUAUUGCACAAUGGGCGGAAGCCUGAUGCAGCAACGCCGCGUGCGGGAUGACGGCCUUCGGGUUGUAAACCGCUUUCGCCUGUGACGAAGAGUGAGUGACGGUAAUGGGUAAAGAAGCACCGGCUAACUACGUG
rnacentral:rRNA from 1 species